rnacentral:rRNA from 1 species
UACGUGGGGUGCGAGCGUUGUUCGGAAUUACUGGGCGUAAAGAGCACGUAGGCGGGCUCGUAUGUCAAUUGUGAAAGCCCCGGGCUCAACCUGGGAACAGCAGUUGAAACUGCGGGUCUUGAGUAUCUGAGAGGGUGGGAGAAUUGCUGGUGUAGUAGUGAAAUACGUAGAUAUCAGCAGGAAUACCUGAGGCGAAGGCGCCUACCUGGCAGAGUACUGACGCUGAGGUGCGAAAGCGUGGGGAGCAAACAGG